rnacentral:misc_RNA from 1 species
GUAGGUGAACCUGCGGAAGGAUCAUUUUUGUUGCUUAAUAGACUUGAGGGGUUAACCUUUAAGCGUUGACUGAACACGUCUCAGUAUAUAUUUAUACUGGGGUUGAACAUGGCAUUGUCUGACUAGUUUUAAUAUAAAAAACUUUCAACAACGGAUCUCUAGGCUCUU